GAUGAACGCUGGCGGCGUGCUUAACACAUGCAAGUCGAACGGUGAACACGGAGCUUGCUCUGUGGGAUCAGUGGCGAACGGGUGAGUAACACGUGAGCAACCUGCCCCUGACUCUGGGAUAAGCGCUGGAAACGGCGUCUAAUACUGGAUAUGUGACGUGACCGCAUGGUCUGCGUUUGGAAAGAUUUUUCGGUUGGGGAUGGGCUCGCGGCCUAUCAGCUUGUUGGUGAGGUAAUGGCCCACCAAGGCGUCGACGGGUAGCCGGCCUGAGAGGGUGACCGGCCACACUGGGACUGAGACACGGCCCAGACUCCUACGGGAGGCAGCAGUGGGGAAUAUUGCACAAUGGGCGCAAGCCUGAUGCAGCAACGCCGCGUGAGGGAUGACGGCCUUCGGGUUGUAAACCUCUUUUAGCAGGGAAGAAGCGAAAGUGACGGUACCUGCAGAAAAAGCGCCGGCUAACUACGUG
rnacentral:rRNA from 1 species